rnacentral:rRNA from 1 species
UACGUAGGUGGAAUAUUAAGUCAGUGGUGAAAUCCUGCGGCUCAACCGUAGAACUGCCAUUGAUACUGAUAUUCUUGAAUGUAGUUGAGGUAGGCGGAAUGUGUAAUGUAGCGGUGAAAUGCUUAGAUAUUACACAGAACACCGAUUGCGAAGGCAGCUUACUAAACUAUGAUUGACGCUGAUGUACGAAAGCGUGGGGAGCGAACAGGAUUAGAUACCCUGGUAGUCC